UGCGCUAUAGCAGGAGAUGAACAUCUGAUUUGUCACAUUUGAAACGCUAAUGUUUAAACCAAAAGGAAGAGCACACAGUAAUGUGUUCAUUCAUCUGCAUAAACACCACCUGUCCCGGCGCAGACAACUCCUCAAGCAGCGAAAGUUUAGCGGCAGCCUGGCGCGGCCAGCCAAUCAGUGCGGGCCCAGCUGUGGUUUCACAAACCCGUAGCGUUUUCAAGUGUCAGAAAGCGCUCUGAGUACCGUCGGUGGUGCUGGAGAGAGAAUACUUUCAUUUCAUGUCAACCGCCAGCGAGACGAAUAGGCGACACGAUAACAACAAGAAAACAGGGCGAGCCAUCACGAUUGACAUCCAAAGAGUUUACUGGACUGUCACACCUGAAAGAAGACAAAACAACGUCCAUAGAGCACCAGGAAGACUGUUGGAAACAUCCUGACUCCUUCCACUGAGUCCGACUGAGCUUGGAGUGAUUCUGCGAAGAAGAAUGGCUAGAGAUUUCUGCCUCUGGCUGUCCAAAGGUGGUGGAGACAUACCAAGAUGCUCCUGCUGCUGGAAACCUCCCCUCUGAGACGAGGGGCCUGCUUGUGACCCGGCGUUAUUGUCGCCUUUUUUCAAGUAUGGCAAGGAGGGAAAGAAAGAAGG